rnacentral:rRNA from 1 species
AGAGUUUGAUCAUGGCUCAGAACGAACGCUGGCGGCGCGCCUAAUACAUGCAAGUCGAGCGAGAAGGUGUAGCAAUACACUUGUAAAGCGGCGAACGGGUGAGGAAUGCAUGGGUAACCUACCCUCGAGUGGGGAAUAACUAGCCGAAAGGUUAGCUAAUACCGCAUACGUUUCCGGGACUUCGGUUCCGGAAAGAAAGCAAUACCGUGGGUAUUGCGCUCAUGGAUGGGCUCAUGUCCUAUCAGCUUGUUGGUGAGGUAACGGCUCACCAAGGCUUCGACGGGUAGCUGGUCUGAGAGGACGAUCAGCCACACUGGCACUGCGACACGGGCCAGACUCCUACGGGAGGCAGCAGUAAGGAAUAUUGCGCAAUGGACGAAAGUCUGACGCAGCGACGCCGCGUGGGGGAUGAAGGUCUUCGGAUUGUAAACCCCUUUCGGGAGGGAAGAUGGAGUGGGUAACCACUUGGACGGUACCUCCAGAAGCAGCCACGGCUAACUUCGUGCCAGCAGCCGCGGUAAUACGAAGGUGGCAAGCGUUGUUCGGAUUCACUGGGCGUACAGGGAGCGUAGGCGGUUGGGUAAGCCCUCCGUGAAAUCUCCGGGCCUAACCCGGAAAGUGCAGAGGGGACUGCUCAGCUAGAGGAUGGGAGAGGAGCGCGGAAUUCCCGGUGUAGCGGUGAAAUGCGUAGAGAUCGGGAGGAAGGCCGGUGGCGAAGGCGACGCUCUGGAACAUUUCUGACGCUGAGGCUCGAAAGCGUGGGGAGCAAACAGGAUUAGAUACCCCGGUAGUCCAA